GACGAACGCUGGCGGCGUGCUUAACACAUGCAAGUCGAACGGAAAGACCCUGCUUUUGUGGGGUGCUCGAGUGGCGAACGGGUGAGUAACACGUGAGUAACCUGCCCUUGACUUUGGGAUAACUUCAGGAAACUGGGGCUAAUACCGGAUAGGAGCUCCUGCUGCAUGGUGGGGGUUGGAAAGUUUCGGCGGUUGGGGAUGGACUCGCGGCUUAUCAGCUUGUUGGUGGGGUAGUGGCUUACCAAGGCUUUGACGGGUAGCCGGCCUGAGAGGGUGACCGGCCACAUUGGGACUGAGAUACGGCCCAGACUCCUACGGGAGGCAACAGUGGGGAAUAUUGCACAAUGGGCGGAAGCCUGAUGCAGCAACGCCGCGUGCGGGAUGACGGCCUUCGGGUGGUAAACCGCUUUCGCCUGUGACGAAGCGUGAGUGACGGUAAUGGGUAAAGAAGCACCGGCUAACUACGU
rnacentral:rRNA from 1 species